rnacentral:lncRNA from 1 species
AAAAUGGAAAUUAAACCAUAGUAUAAUAUGUGUUAGUGGAAUAUGAUGUAAAAUUCCACUUAUAAAUGUUAAUGAUUGAUUAAGUUAAAAAAUUAUGAUUAAGUUAUUAAAACCUAGUUAAUUAACCACAAUUUUAAUAUCUACGAUAAAUUAAAGAAAGGAUCAAGAAUUGAAUCAAAUCGGUGAUAAUCGAGGAAAAGCCAAAAUUGUUGAUUAGUCCCUGAAAAUUGGGUUGUUUGUUGUUUUGAUCAGGUAAGUUCAUAUGAAACUUACUACUGUAUUUUACAUUAUGUUAAUUAGUAUUUUGUUUUAUUUAUGUAUUUGAUUGAAAUGAAUUAGAGAGUUUGACACUUAUAACACAAAAAAUAUUGAAUUGUAAAUUCAUGAGAAUAUUGGUUACAUGAAAAUAGAAUAGAAUGCAAAUGAAAAUGUUGACUAAAUAUAUGUCUUAUAUGAGAAAUUAAAUGGUGUAUAGGAAAUGAUAAUGUCAUUUAUACGGAAAUGAUGCCCAAGUGAACUUAGUAAAUGGUUAGGAUACGUAUCAUGUAAUUGAUCAGGGAUUUACAUGAUGUUAUGAGAUCUAACAUUUGUUGCAGAUUCUCAGAUUAUACGUAUUGUUGGAUUAUCCAGGACGGGUAACCUCGAUAUGAUGUCAGCUUGUGUGAGUAGUUCUGAUAAAAUGUCAGCUUGUGUGAGCAUUACAUUCCUAUGUAUCCAAGUCCAUUUUACUAUAGCUCUAUCGGGCGAUGUACAAUUGAUUAGAAAUGGAGUUUAAUAAUGAAUUUAAAAUGAAAUGGUAAUAAUGAUACUUGACAUAUAGAUUCUUAUGGGAUUAUAUUUCAAAUGAUGACGAUAUUACGAUUCGAGAACGUAACUAACGUAUUCGAUCUGUAGUGAUAUUGCAUGUAUAUAUAUGUAUUCAAGUACCAAGGAAAGUUAAUUUGGUAGUUAAUAGAAUAUUUUUUUAUGCUUAAAUGAUUAAGAUAAGUUUUAAUUUCUAUAUGAGCCUACUAAGCAUUUUAUUCGCUUACCCGUUUGUUUCCAUUUUC